AUUGAACGCUGGCGGCAUGCCUUACACAUGCAAGUCGAACGGUAACAGGUCUUCGGAUGCUGACGAGUGGCGAACGGGUGAGUAAUACAUCGGAACGUGCCCGAUCGUGGGGGAUAACGAGGCGAAAGCUUUGCUAAUACCGCAUACGAUCUACGGAUGACAGCGGGGGAUCUUCGGACCUCGCGCGGACGGAGCGGCCGAUGGCAGAUUAGGUAGUUGGUGGGAUAAAAGCUUACCAAGCCGACGAUCUGUAGCUGGUCUGAGAGGAUGAUCAGCCACACUGGGACUGAGACACGGCCCAGACUCCUACGGGAGGCAGCAGUGGGGAAUUUUGGACAAUGGGCGAAAGCCUGAUCCAGCCAUGCCGCGUGCAGGAUGAAGGCCUUUGGGUUGUAAACUGCUUUUGUACGGAACGAAAAGCCUCUUUCUAAUAAAGAGGUGUCAUGACGGUACCGUAAGAAUAAGCACCGGCUAACUACGUG
rnacentral:rRNA from 1 species